rnacentral:rRNA from 1 species
AGUGAACGCUGGCGGCGUGCCUAAUACAUGCAAGUCGAACGAGCGGCGGACGGGUGAGUAAUGUCUGGGAAACUGCCUGAUGGAGGGGGAUAACUACUGGAAACGGUAGCUAAUACCGCAUACCAUCAGAUGUGCCCAGAUGGGAUUAGCUAGUAGGUGGGGUAAUGGCUCACCUAGGCGACGAUCCCUAGCUGGUCUGAGAGGAGGACAAGCCACCCGUGAACUGAGACACGGUCCAGACUCCUACGGGAGGCAGCAGUGGGGAAUAUUGCACAAUGGGCGCAAGCCUGAUGCAGCCAUGCCGCGUGUGUGAAGAAGGCCUUCGGGUUGUAAAGCACUUUCAGCGAGGAGGCGUUACUCGCAGAAGAAGCACCGGCUAACUCCGUGCCAGCAGCCGCGGUAAUUC